GCUAAGUUCGUGCCAGCAGCCGCGGUAAGACGAACCGUCCGAACGUUAUUCGGAAUUACUGGGCUUAAAGGGUGCGUAGGCGGCCCUGCAAGUCAGGUGUGAAAUCCCACGGCUCAACCGUGGAACUGCGCUUGAAACUGCAGGGCUUGAGGGAGAUAGGGGUGAGCGGAACUGAUGGUGGAGCGGUGAAAUGCGUUGAUAUCAUCAGGAACACCGGUGGCGAAGGCGGCUCACUGGGUCUCUUCUGACGCUGAGGCACGAAAGCUAGGGGAGCGAACGGGAUUAGAUACCCCGGUAGUC
rnacentral:rRNA from 1 species